rnacentral:rRNA from 1 species
ACGAACGCUGGCGGCGUGCCUAAUACAUGCAAGUUGAGCGCUGAAGGUUGGUACUUGUACCAACUGGAUGAGCAGCGAACGGGUGAGUAACGCGUGGGGAAUCUGCCUUUGAGCGGGGGACAACAUUUGGAAACGAAUGCUAAUACCGCAUAAAAACUUUAAACACAAGUUUUAAGCUUGAAAGAUGCAAUUGCAUCACUCAAAGAUGAUCCCGCGUUGUAUUAGCUAGUUGGUGAGGUAAAGGCUCACCAAGGCGAUGAUACAUAGCCGACCUGAGAGGGUGAUCGGCCACAUUGGGACUGAGACACGGCCCAAACUCCUACGGGAGGCAGCAGUAGGGAAUCUUCGGCAAUGGACGAAAGUCUGACCGAGCAACGCCGCGUGAGUGAAGAAGGUUUUCGGAUCGUAAAACUCUGUUGGUAGAGAAGAACGUUGGUGAGAGUGGAAAGCUCAUCAAGUGACGGUAACUACCCAGAAAGGGACGGCUAACUACGUG